rnacentral:rRNA from 1 species
AGAAGUAGGUAGUUUAACCUUCGGGGGGGACGCUUACCACUUUGUGGUUCAUGACUGGGGUGAAGUCGUAACAAGGUAGCGCUAGGGGAACCUGGCGCUGGAUCACCUCCUUAAACGAUGAU